rnacentral:rRNA from 1 species
CUUGGUGACUAUACCGCAAGUGUCCCACCUGAUCCCAUUCCGAACUCAGAAGUGAAAUCUUGCAAGGCCCAUGAUAGUUGGAUUUAUCCGGCGAAAGUAGGUAGUCGCCAGAC